AGUGUUACCAAAACUUGACCAAAACGUAAAGCCAAUCGCCCCAUGAAAAGUUUUUCCUUCAGGAAAAGUUGAUCAGCUGGGCUUUGAUGUCCAGGAAUCAGACCCAUUCAUUUGGUUGCGACACGUCAACAGCCAAGUGCGGGGUUUACGUGAGUUAGAAGGCAAAUGCAACCACAAAGCCCAUGGUUUCUGCGCCACACCUAAGACUCAACCAGCCCACUUGUAAGGCCUUAGUCAGUUUAGUCAGAAUCCAACUAAACUCCCACAUUACUUAGGAAUAAAAGAGUAAAAGGUUUUAUAUUACAGAAAGAAGCAGGUGCUGGUUGUCCCUUCGGGGACAUCCGAUAAAAUUGGAACGAUACAGAGAAGAUUAGCAUGGCCCCUGCGCAAGGAUGACACGCACAAAUCGAGAAAUGGUCCAAAUUUUUUUUUAAUUUUUUUUCCUGAAUUUCUGCAUCUGUUUCCACCUCUUUCCCUGUUUCCUUUAGCUAAACAACUGAUGAAGAGGCUCAUGGUAGUUUAAAUUCAGAUAGGUCUGGCUUAGUUGAUCUGUUUUCAGUGAUUUGCAGGUGGUCAAUUCUGUGUGAAUCAUGCCAAAAAUUUUGCUUUCUCUGGAUAUGAAAGGGCAUGGUUGAUCCUUAACGCGCGAUGUGUUCUUCUACAAACUGAUGCAGUAGCUGCUAUCUAUAAACUCCCACUCUUUGGGUGUUUAAUUUUCCUGGGUAGAAUCUGAAUUUCUGAUAUAGGAAAUGACUUCUCUUAUUAAUCUAAGUACCCUUUCUUUUGGUUGAGAUUGUGCGUGAAUUAGUAUGUUCUUGACUCUCGAGCUGAAUUCUUAUGAAUAAUGCUUAGUUGCCCAUAUUUGCUAGUUAUUGGUGCUUGUCUCCUGUCAUUUUAUGCUAUACAACAUUAGGAAGAUUCAAGGAAAUGAAGUAUUACGGAAACAGAGAAGUGCCCCCAAAUUGAUCAAGUCGUCUGCAGCUGAAUCCAUCGUAUCAACGAUUCUUACAAUCAUGGUGAAUUCUCUGAAAAAAAUUUUGCUGCAUAAUGGAACUUUUCUACCUCUUGGGUGUAAGCUGCAGUUGUUGUAGUGCAUCAACACACUCAAUUUAUCAGGUCCAAUUAUUGCAGCCAAAUAGUUUUUGUGUUAGUUGGAUUUGCAACAGGGUUUUUGUUUGUACAGGCUUAAUUAUUAAUCACCCAAGGAGAGGAUGCCAUUGAUUAGUCUGCAUCAAGAGAAAGCAGCCAGACAAAAUUUACUCGUGGAGAAGGCUACGGUUUCUCUUUCUUCUUUUGAACAAAGCAUUGUUUAUCAAGUGACUUAUGUUGGGAUCCAUUAUUUUGCUUCCUGAGAAAGAAUGUGUUGCUGUUCACAUAGAUCAAGGUUGUAUGAUAUGACUUACAGCAAAUGUUGUCCCAUAGUUAUAGCUUAUACAUGAAGUUUGUUGUUUCUAUCUGUCUGAUUUGACUUAAUUUGUUGUUUCUCUCAACUCAAUGAUAAUCUCAUGACUUAUAUUGGGAAA